rnacentral:rRNA from 2 species
CCUGAAGGAACGUUUAAGACUAAGACGUUGAUAGGCUGGGUGUGUAAGUGCAGCGAUGCAUUGAGCUAACCAGUACUAAUGAUCCGUGAGGCUUAACCUU